rnacentral:rRNA from 1 species
CGGAGCUUGCUCCACCGAAAGAAAAAGAGUGGCGAACGGGUGAGUAACACGUGGGUAACCUGCCCAUCAGAAGGGGAUAACACUUGGAAACAGGUGCUAAUACCGUAUAACACUAUUUUCCGCAUGGAAGAAAGUUGAAAGGCGCUUUUGCGUCACUGAUGGAUGGACCCGCGGUGCAUUAGCUAGUUGGUGAGGUAACGGCUCACCAAGGCCACGAUGCAUAGCCGACCUGAGAGGGUGAUCGGCCACACUGGGACUGAGACACGGCCCAGACUCCUACGGGAGGCAGCAGUAGGGAAUCUUCGGCAAUGGACGAAAGUCUGACCGAGCAACGCCGCGUGAGUGAAGAAGGUUUUCGGAUCGUAAAACUCUGUUGUUAGAGAAGAACAAGGAUGAGAGUAGAACGUUCAUCCCUUGACGGUAUCUAACCAGAAAGCCACGGCUAACUACGUGCCAGCAGCCGCGGUAAUACGUAGGUGGCAAGCGUUGUCCGGAUUUAUUGGGCGUAAAGCGAGCGCAGGCGGUUUCUUAAGUCUGAUGUGAAAGCCCCCGGCUCAACCGGGGAGGGUCAUUGGAAACUGGGAGACUUGAGUGCAGAAGAGGAGAGUGGAAUUCCAUGUGUAGCGGUGAAAUGCGUAGAUAUAUGGAGGAACACCAGUGGCGAAGGCGGCUCUCUGGUCUGUAACUGACGCUGAGGCUCGAAAGCGUGGGGAGCGAACAGGAUUAGAUACCCUGGUAGUCCACGCCGUAAACGAUGAGUGCUAAGUGUUGGAGGGUUUCCGCCCUUCAGUGCUGCAGCAAACGCAUUAAGCACUCCGCCUGGGGAGUACGACCGCAAGGUUGAAACUCAAAGGAAUUGACGGGGGCCCGCACAAGCGGUGGAGCAUGUGGUUUAAUUCGAAGCAACGCGAAGAACCUUACCAGGUCUUGACAUCCUUUGACCACUCUAGAGAUAGAGCUUCCCCUUCGGGGGCAAAGUGACAGGUGGUGCAUGGUUGUCGUCAGCUCGUGUCGUGAGAUGUUGGGUUAAGUCCCGCAACGAGCGCAACCCUUAUUGUUAGUUGCCAUCAUUUAGUUGGGCACUCUAGCGAGACU